UGUAGACAUAUAGUGAUCAAAUGGAACUCAACAGAAGAAAACAAGUAAAUAUAAGCAGGGGGCUCUCGGUCGAUAGCCAAUCAUGCAUUCAAAAUUAGAAAUCCCGAGACUCAGUUGCCACCUAGCCCAUUAGAAGUUUACUACAAGCUGCACUAUAAUGCCAAGAAAAAAGAAAAAAGGAUGGCUAAAUGAAGAUUCACAUAUUAUAUAUGAUAAUAUUUGUAAACAUAAAGAGGCGGCCAUGCCUAGAUUGAAUACCGAAGGAACCAUCGUUACUACUGCUAUGGAACACGACGUGGAGAGAAAAGCCAUCAAAAGUGUAUGUGGUAGGGCUAAAACAAUACAAUCAGCAUUGGGAAGUAGGUGUUGGUCCUGUGUUAAGGAAAAAAGAUAACUGGAUGAAAUCGGCAGUCGAAUCAUCUCAACGAGAUUCAACUGAGAACGAAGAUUUGAGAAAUGAGGUUACUGAACUCAAGGAGGAAUUGAAACAGAGUAA